rnacentral:misc_RNA from 1 species
AAAGUCGUAACAAGGUAACCGUAGGUGAACCUGCGGUUGGAUCAUUACCAAACCAUAUGCGUUUCCCUUAGAAAUAAGGGUUCCAAACGUACCAUUGUGCACAGUUUCACGUCGUUUCAGCGGUACAGAAACACGAGGCAGCAUCCGCUGCACGUGCUUCUCAAGCCUGGGAAACAAACAGCUUUUUUGGCGUUGUUUCCGCCGCCGCUGGGCAGAGCCGCGCGUUCUCUGCGGGCGGUUCUGGAAAGACCAACCUUUUGAAUCAUCAUCUUGUCUUACUUAUAUUUUGAUGCUAAAUUUGAAACAACUUUUGACAACGGAUCUCUUGGCUCUC